UACGGAGGAUGCAAGCGUUAUCCGGAUUCAUUGGGUUUAAAGGGUGCGUAGGCGGAGCAAUAAGUCAGCGGUGAAAGCCUGUAGCUUAACUAUAGAAAUGCCAUUGAUACUGUCGCUCUUGAAUGCAGUUGAGGUAGGCGGAAUGUGUAAUGUAGCGGUGAAAUGCGUAGAUAUUACACAGAACGUCGAUUGCGUAGGCAGCUUACUAAACUGUGAUUGACGCUGAGGCACGAAAGCGUGGGGAU
rnacentral:rRNA from 1 species